CCCCUCUCAGGAUGGCACCUAGAGAGUUUCCAGUUCUCGACCAGUCUCCACUAUGGGAGGGGGAGUCAAGCAGAAGCAUACCCAUUCCAUUUCUAGUUUGGCCAGUGGCUAGUGAGUGGAAGGCAAUCUGCUAUAAGU
rfam:Ornithorhynchus anatinus chromosome X2, whole genome shotgun sequence.